rnacentral:tRNA from 1 species
CGGAACAUAGCUCAGCGGCGAGAGCACCAGACACGAUGGACGAAGGUUCGAGUCCUUCUGUUCCGA